rnacentral:misc_RNA from 1 species
GUUGCCGUGGAUUUCUAUGGCUCGUCCGAAAUGCUUCAGUGUACCCCGCAAAGCGGCGUAUUCGGUGUGAUACAUCUUCACCGGAGUUGAUCCUUCACGGGUCGCGUCUGUAAUGUGUGGCUCUAUGCUUCAAACCGUCUUGACAGGACAAUCUUUGACAAUUCGACCUCAAAUCGGGUGGGACUACCCGCCGAACUUAA